CCGUGCCCAAGAGAUCGGGAUAACACCUGGAAACAGAUGCUAAUACCGGAUAACAACAGAUGAUGCCUAUCAACUGUUUAAAAGAUGGUUCUGCUAUCACUCUUGGAUGGACCUGCGGUGCAUUAGCUAGUUGGUAGGGUAACGGCCUACCAAGGCGAUGAUGCAUAGCCGAGUUGAGAGACUGAUCGGCCACAUUGGGACUGAGACACGGCCCAAACUCCUACGGGAGGCAGCAGAC
rnacentral:rRNA from 1 species